GACGAACGCUGGCGGCGUGCUUAACACAUGCAAGUCGAACGGAAAGGCCCUGCUGUUGUGGGGUGCUCGAGUGGCGAACGGGUGAGUAACACGUGAGUAACCUGCCCUUGACUUUGGGGUAACUUCAGGAAACUGGGGCCAAUACCGGAUAGGAGCUCCUGCUGCAUUGUGGGGGUUGGAAAGUUUCGGCGGUUGGGGAUGGACUCCCGGCUAAUAAGCUUGUUGGGGGGGGAGUGGCUUACCAAGGCUUUACCGGGUAGCCGGCGUGAGAGGGUGACCGGCCACAUUGGGACUGAGAGACGGCGCAGAGUCCUACGGGAGGCAGCGGUGGGGAAUAUUGCACAAUGGGCGGAAGCCUGAUGCAGCAACGCCGCGUGCGGGAUGACGGGCUUCGGGGUGUAAACAGCUUUGGCCUGUGACGAAGCGUGAGUGACGGUAAUGGGUAAAGAAGCACCGGCUAACUACGUG
rnacentral:rRNA from 1 species